CACGAGAGGACGCCUCGUGGAGGGCCGUGUAGCCCGCAUUGUCUCGCCGAUUCACCUCCCUGAUGUCUUUGUCUAGACAGUACUGCACCACUUCCUGAUAAAACAACCCCCCAAAGAAGCAACGUUUCCCCAGCGUUUUUAUUGACGAUCAGCCGUCGCACCUCCGGAGGAAUUGGACGUUUGGCAGGAGUCUCCGGGCUGCUGUUUUUCCCUGACGAGCUCCUUUUGCCAGACGGAGACGAGGGCACACUCUUGGAGAGGGGCGGGGGGCUGCUGUUCUCUGUGAUUGCGUCCUCAUCCAGAGCUGCGGGGACGCCGCGUUUGCCCAAGCUGCCACGCUUGGUCUUCGUCUAAAAGGAGAGUGAUGACUCAAGUCAAAUGGAAUGCAUUGUGAUUUCGUUGUAACAAAGAAAUAGACGGAUUAAAAAAA